rnacentral:rRNA from 1 species
CACGUAGGGCGCAAGCGUUGUCCGGAAUUAUUGGGCAUAAAGAGCUCGUAGGUGGUUUGCUGCGUCCGCUGUGAAAACCCAAGGCUUAACCUUGGGCUUGCAGUGGAUACGGGCAGACUAGAGGUAGGUAGGGGAGAAUGGAAUUCCCGGUGUAGCGGUGAAAUGCGCAGAUAUCGGGAGGAACACCGGUGGCGAAGGCGGUUCUCUGGGCCUUACCUGACACUGAGGAGCGAAAGCGUGGGGAGCGAACAGG